AAAUACAUGUAGUAAUACAUUAGGCCAAACUUUGCAUAAGGUUGUUUCCUUAUAAUUUCAGGCAUGCUACUGCUUCCAAUUGAAAAUUAUUAUUUUUUAAUAGUUGUUAAAUAGUCAUCCAUUAUUUUGUAUAAACAGAUAGUAAAGAUUAUUUACUCAAGACAAUGAGAAAAGAAGAAACUUUCUCUAUAAAUACUGGCAAAGGGUGUCACAAAAGAAUUCACAAAGCAAAGUUUACAAUUGAAAGUGAUAAUGAAUCAGAUGAUGUGCAGGAGCACAGUAUUCCUAAAAAGCUAAAGGCAUCCAGGGCAAAGAAAACAGAGGCUUGCUGCUCAGCCAGUCUUGCUUCACUUAUAAAGGAGUGAUUAACCAAGGAGAGUCAGUCAGAUGAAGGUAGUGCACUUUGCAAUGAUAAAUGCAAGUAUAAAAAAGAAGCCUUGGAGCUCAAAGAGAGGGUAAAAAUGCUGAAAAAUCAGAUGAAAAGACUUAACGAGCAAAUUGACAAUGGCAAUGUUGGAUGUUUUGAAAGGGUUGAACAUUGAUUACUUUUUCGUGGCUGACGUGGAUGUUGAAGUGCAUGGCUCAAAGUCUGUCUUACAAUACUGCAAAAGAAAGAGCAUCUCCGCUUCAUUUUUACUUUUGUAAACAGCUCUAGAGCAAUUAAGUCAACCGACAACGUUUAAACUGUUACCGAGAAUCGCAUGGCAAGAUUGAAACAGAAGAGAAAAUCUUUGCGUGAUAUUUUAAAUCAGAAAUACUGUGAAGCAACUGGAAUGGAAAAAGCAAAAGUGCCAUACACUUCUCUUUUGAAAGGGGAUUUCAAAUAUGUAUUAUGCAUAUGACUGUUCAAAACACGCAUCAUUACGGGAUCCAUCGAUUAUGGGAGAAGCAGCAUUGGAUUUAUUUAUUGAAAAA